AACGUAGGUUCCGAGCGUUAUCCGGAUUUACUGGGCGUAAAGCGCGCGUAGGCGGCUCCGCAAGUCGGCCGUGAAAUCUCCGGGCUCAACUCGGAGGGGUCGGGCGAGACUGCGAGGCUCGAGGUGGGCAGAGGGCAGUGGAAUUCCGCGUGUAGCAGUGAAAUGCGUAGAGAUGCGGAGGAACACCGAUGGCGAAGGCAGCCCCCUGGGCUGACACUGACGCUCAGGCACGAAAGCGUGGGGAGCAAACAGG
rnacentral:rRNA from 1 species